rnacentral:rRNA from 1 species
GAUUAACGCUGGCGGCGUGCAUAACACAUGCAAGUCGAACGAUGAAACUUAAAUGAUUUCUUCGGAAUGAACUUAAGUGGAUUAGUGGCGGACGGGUGAGUAACGCGUGAGUAACCUGCCUUACACAAGGGGAUAGCCGUUGGAAACGACGAAUAAUACCCUAUGAAACUAUCACUUCGCAUGAAGCGAUAGUCAAAGUGUUAGCGGUGUAAGAUGGACUUGCGUCUGAAUAGCUAGUUGGUGAGAAAAAAGCCCACCAAGGCAACGAUCAGUAGCCGGCUUGAGAGAGUGUACGGCCACAUUGGGACUGAGGCACGGCCCAGACUCCUACGGGAGGCAGCAGUGGGGAAUUUUGCACAAUGGGGGAAACCCUGAUGCAGCGACGCCGCGUGAUUUAGAAGGCCUUCGGGUUGUAAAAAUCUUUUGUAUAGGAAGAAAAUGACAGUACUAUACGAAUAAGGUCCGGCUAAUUACGUG